rnacentral:rRNA from 1 species
AGUGAACGCUAGCGGCAGGCCUAAUACAUGCAAGUCGAGCGGCAAGUCGAGGAGUAAUCUGAGACCUAGAGCGGCGUACGGGUGCGUAACGCGUAUGCAACCUACCUCAUACAGGGGGAUAGCCCGGAGAAAUCUGGAUUAAUACCCCAUAGCACAGCACAAGGGCAUCUGCGAGCUGUUAAAGAUUCAUCGGUAUGAGAUGGGCAUGCGUCUGAUUAGCUAGUUGGCGGUGUAACGGACCACCAAGGCGACGAUCAGUAGGGGUUCUGAGAGGAAGGUCCCCCACACUGACACUGAGAUACGGGCCAGACUACUACGGGAGGAAGCAGUAGGGAAUAUUGGGCAAUGGACGAGAGUCUGACCCAGCCAUGCCGCGUGCAGGAAGAAGGCCUUCUGGGUUGUAAACUGCUUUUAUCUGGGAAGAAAAGGCCCAUGCGUGGGACAUUGCCGGUACCAGAUGAAUAAGCACCGGCUAACUCCGUGCCAGCCGCCGCCGUAA